rnacentral:rRNA from 1 species
CCUACGGGAGGCAGCAGUGAGGAAUAUUGGUCAAUGGACGAGAGGCUGAACCAGCCAAGUAGCGUGAAGGACGACUGCCCUAUGGGUUGUAAACUUCUUUUAUAAAGGAAUAAAACGAGGCACGUGUGCCUUUCUGCAUGUACUUUAUGAAUAAGGAUCGGCUAACUCCGUGCCAGCAGCCGCGGUAAUACGGAGGAUCCGAGCGUUAUCCGGAUUUAUUGGGUUUAAAGGGAGCGUAGAUGGGUUGUUAAGUCAGUUGUGAAAGUUUGCGGCUCAACCGUAAAAUUGCAAUUGAUACUGGCAGUCUUGAGUACAGUUGAGGUAGGCGGAAUUCGUGGUGUAGCGGUGAAAUGCUUAGAUAUCACGAAGAACCCCGAUUGCGAAGGCAGCUUACUAAACUGUAACUGACGUUGAUGCUCGAAAGUGUGGGUAUCAAACAGGAUUAGAUACCCAUGUAGUC